CACGCCGUAAACGAUGGAUGCUAGCUGUUAUGAGUAUCGACCCUCGUAGUAGCGAAGCUAACGCGUUAAGCAUCCCGCCUGUGGAGUACGAGCGCAAGCUUAAAACAUAAAGGAAUUGACGGGGACCCGCACAAGCGGUGGAGCGUGUUCUUUAAUUCGAUGGUAAGCGAAGAACCUUACCCAGGCUUGACAUCCUUGGAAGGCUUCCGAAAGGAAACUGUGCCUUCGGGAACCAAGUGACAGGUGU
rnacentral:rRNA from 1 species